rnacentral:lncRNA from 1 species
UUUAUAUUUGUUAUGCUUAUUAUUUUAUUUAAUUUCUUUUUCUAUAUAGUAUCUUGCUAUUUAUUUUAAUUUUUUAUUAUUAUUAAUUUAAUUCGAUUGUUAUUUAGUGGUUUGUAUUUUUUAAAUGUUUACCUUUUAGAUUUAGUUAGUGGUUGAAUUUCCGAUUUUUUUAUUCGAUUAGUCGAUUUUUAUGUGUUAACUAAUUUAGUUAGGUUAUUAGUACCCAUAUCCAUACUUUUACAUGUGUAAAUAAUCAUACUCAAAUUUGACUCGAUUUCAAAAUCAAU